rnacentral:rRNA from 1 species
GGGUGAGUAACGCGUAAGUAAUCUGUCCUGAUAUCUGGAAUAACACUCCGAAAGGUGUGCUAAUACCGGAUACGCUGAGAAAUCAGGAAAGGUGGCCUCUUCAUGAAAGCUACUGUAUCAGGAGGAGCUUGCGUACCAUUAGCUAGUUGGUGGGGUAAUGGCCUACCAAGGCAACGAUGGUUAGCGGGUCUGAGAGGAUGAUCCGCCACACUGGAACUGGAACACGGACCAGACUCCUACGGGAGGCAGCAGUGAGGAAUAUUGCGCAAUGGGGGCAACCCUGACGCAGCGACGCCGCGUGGAUGAUGAAGGCCUUCGGGUCGUAAAAUCCUGUCAGAUGGAAAGAAAUGUCAUAUGCCUAAUAUGUGUAUGAUUUGACGGUACCAUCAAAGGAAGCACCGGCUAACUCCGUGCCAGCAGCCGCGGUAAUACGGAGGGUGCAAGCGUUGUUCGGAAUUACUGGGCGUAAAGCGCGCGUAGGCGGCUUUUUAAGUCAGAUGUGAAAGUCCACGGCUCAACCGUGGAAGUGCAUUUGAUACUGGGAAGCUUGAGUACUGGAGGGGAUGGUGGAAUUCCCGGUGUAGAGGUGAAAUUCGUAGAUAUCGGGAGGAAUACCGGUGGCGAAGGCGACCAUCUGGCCAGAUACUGACGCUGAGGUGCG